rnacentral:lncRNA from 1 species
UUCAAUUCUGGUCUUUGUAUUUUUAAAUUAUGUGAUUUUGACUUUGUAUUUUACAUUUAUUGUCAAAUUAGUCCAAUUGAUAGUGAAAUUUAGAAUUUUGGAUGAAUUUUGAAUACAUGAACAACAUUUUUCUGGUGAUUUACAAUGGAAUUGGAUAUAUUACAGUAGGGUUUGAAUGAUUUAUCGUGAAAAUUGGGUGAAAAUGGGAGAAAAGUUCAAUUUUAUCUCUAAAAUACUGGUAUAUGUCAUAAAAGUAUAAACAAAUGUCCAAAAACAUAACGGCCGUUACUAAUUGGACUGAUUAUAACAAAAAAUAAAAAUAAAAACUUCUGAAUUUAAAAAUAUAAGGAUCAAAAUUUAGGACAAGUAAAAAUACAGGGACACUGUUUACAAUUUAUCCGAAAAACAAAAAAACCUGCCUCCAUCCACACACACACACACACUCUCCACUACCAAUAUAUACGUACCCACUUCUCCCUCUCUCCACCCAAUCUCACAACACCCAAAAAAUUGAGGUUUUGGCUGAUAUCUCCUCUCUCUCCGGGAGCCACCCUGACGCCGAUUCCUAGCUGAGGCGGCAGCGGAGAUCUAAGCUCUGUCAUAAGUAGAGAGAGCAAGGGGAUUUAUAGCUAUGAUUCUUUUGUUUCUGCUGCUUGAGGUCUUUGGGACUUUUGGAAACACUGGUGAUGCUGUGACCAGGAAGAGAGAGGUUGCUGCUUUUCUCGCUCAAACUUCACAUAAAACUACUGGUAAUUUCAAACAUGUUUUUUAUAUAACAAUUAUUAUGUACCAAAAAACAUUUUAAGGACAGCGACUAGUCGCGUCUAAGUGUCUUCCAUCGGUCUUAGGACCAAUUUUUGUUUUUAUAACUCAGUUUUGGUCGAGUCGGGUAAAGUUUCGUAUGGACAGACUCAACUCAAAAAUUAAUUGAUAGCACUUAAAAAGUUUCGAACUAAAGAAUUAAAAUGGAAUAGAUCUCCAAGUCUCAGGCUUAAAUCAUCAAUUUCACAGCUUGUUUUAUUAAGAUCCAGUUUUGUUUUCAGUGAACUUUUUUGGCAUUUAAUUAAAAAUUUAUACUUUUUCAGUUUCUUUUGACGAGAAGAGCUCGAAAAUAAAAAAUAAUCUAAUUUGAAAAAAAAUAUACUAAAUUCGAAAAAAAAUCAUUUUAGAUGGUUUUUCGGAUAAAAAUAAUUUCAUUCGUCUUGAGUAACCUUUUUUUCUAAAUUAGAUGACAAUUUUUAUGUAAUAAUUAUAAAUACAAUUUUAAUAAUUUAUUAAAAUUAUUGAGUUUACAAAAAAAGAAAUGUCUAGAAAUGUCUUUUUUCGUCAAUAAGUUUUUUUUUAAAUUAGAUAAUUAUUUUAUAUAUUUUUGAACUCUUCUCGUCAAGAAAAAAUAAAAAAUUUGUGGUAUUAGAGAGCUGCUUUUGUUCAGUGUAGUGACCCUAGUGGGCGAUGAUGGUGGUAUGGUGAUUUAUGCCGGAUGUCAAUGAAUUCAACGGCUGCUAUGGGCUGUGCUGUGAGUGACAAUCCAUUGGGAUGGGGUAGAGCUAGAAACAUCAAAUAAUAGAGAGAGAAGAGAACUCUAAAUUCCAUAACAUUUUGACAAUGUUAAUUUAUUAUCUGAUGUGAUAUAAUUUAUAAAUAUUUUUAGAUAUAAUUAAAUUAUUUAUUGAAUCUAUGUAUUAAUUUGAAAAUACGUCACAUCAGAUAAUAAAUAAAAAACAAUUAGAUAAGCGUAAUAUACAAUUAGAUAAGCGUAAUAUUGUUUGAUAUUAAUGUUGUUAAAUAAUGAGAAGAAGGAUUUUAAAUAAUGAUUAAUAAAUGUCCCCUUAUCCUUAAAUUACGACUCCAACAAUAACUAUACCUUGAGGCAAAACUGUAUUUUUUUUAUACUGCAAUCUCUAACUUAAUAUAUAAAUACAACUUAUGACAUAGUACGGAAGUUAAUAAAGAAGAGUAAAGGAAACACAUAAAUUAGAAAAACGUCCUAUUAAUCUAAGGAAGGAAUCUUCCUAAUUCCAACCGUAAGUAUAACACAACUUUCAAAGUACCCAUAAAAAAGCUCACACGUCGAUUUAUAGGAAGUAUUGGGAUCAUUUAACUAAAGAGCAAUUGGCAAAGCCUCAAAGCUAUGCAGAUUGCAUCCAUUAGUGUCGUCCCGGAGUUCCGAUGUUUGGAAUCAAUUCCUCUACACCUACCUUUCAAGUUAUCGAUAGAUCGAAAACAGAAAUAUAAAUGCGGGCUGAUAUCAAUAUUUACAGCAUGAAUUUUGUAAAAUCACCCAUUCUAGGUUAGGUGUAGUAGCAUGUGAUUUUAAAUGCAUUGAAUUUGAAAAAAUGACAGUAAAUCCAGGAACAGUCCCAAGGGGUCGCAGCCCCAAACUUUGACAAAUUUAUAAUAUUAAUCGCAUCUUAUUUCGAAUUCAAAAACUAUCUCUUACUAUUUACGGGUAAAAUCUAUUUGGGUUAAUCCAACGGCUGAGAUUUCAUCUAAAAUUAUUUUUUUCUCUCAAAACUAUAUUUCCAGUCUUUUUUCAAGAUGUUGAGCCCCACAUAAAUUCCAAUGGCAAAACUCUAAAAGUUAUGGCAUAUAUUUUAUCUAUUGAAUCAUUUUUUAGUAGAACCCACAUACAUAAAAAAAAUUUAUUUCUCCUUUAUUUCUCUCAAACUAGCAAUACUUUUUCAAAAUCAAUAUAUUUUCUAAUUUAUUUUUUAUUUUGUAGCAAUAUAUCUCUUCGUAUAUACAUCCAAUGUAUCUUUUAUCUGAUUUUUAUAUCUUAUCUGUUUUGUAAUUUGUAAAACUCUAACGAGUACGCCUAAGAGGUAAUUUUUUUUGAGCAGUGCCUAUAGGCAUGAGCAAUUACUAGUGCUCAAUAACGCAAUAUAAUUUUUGAUAUUUACAUGGUAAGUAUGCACAUCCCUAAUAAUUUAGUUUAAUGCCUCCAAAAUUUAAACAAAUAUUUAUCCUAGGCUCCGUUUGGAUAUGUAGAUUUCAAAUCAAGAAAUUUUAUAUUUUAUUUAAUAAAAAUAACUUACAUUAAGAUUUAGUAGUCGACGUAGAGAUUUCGAGCUUGAAUUUGAGAGUUUUAUUAUUAUGUAAUAUGAUGAAUUUAAAAUAACAAAUUAAUAAGAGAGAUUUAAAAUCUUUUAUACAAAUGCUUAAAAUACCCUUCCCAAAGAAAAAGAAAGAAAUAAAAGUGUAGUUGUAUGAGAAGGAAUAAUUCCGGUAAUGAGCAAAAAUAUUAAGGAUAUUAUUGUAAUCUUACAUAUAAAAAUAAAAAAUAUUUAAUAAAAAGUAUAGUGCAUAAAUCCCUAACCUAUUAAAAACUAAUAAUUCUUCUUAGGUAAGGACCUCUUGUACUGAAGAUUUGAAGCUUCUAGCUUGAUUUUUUCUCACAGCUUUGUGGUCAACUCUCACCAUUCCUCCUUUCGCCUCCCCAUACGUUUUCUUACAUUUUGGUCCGUAAUACAUGUGAAUACACAUUGAUGAAAGUCGUCAUUCACGUAGCCGCCCGAGUAACUAUUCUCAGUCUAUGAGUACAAUAUGUAUACACGGGUGUACUGUACGUAACAUUUUUACAACCUGACAUUUACAAUAACACUAAAUCAUAAAGAUUAAAGACAAAAAAUUCACACAACAAAACCCAGAAGAAUUCAGUGUACAGACUUUCUAAAAUUCUUUUGAUUUUCAGAAUUUAUUCAAAAAAAUAUGUUCAAACUCCAAAAACUUAUUAAAUAUCAUUGCAGUCUAUGUACCGGUUGAGGAGGAAUUUUGCGUAACCUUUGUGUGCAGUACGUCAAAGACGCCAAUACAGCCUCCCGAGAACGUACAAUAGAAUGAGUAUUGACUUGUCAGAUGUUCAGAUUUUACACAAUUUGGAUACAGGAUACAGCGUUACAAGUUCUUUCCAGCCAGCCGGUUUGGUACUGAGUUUAGCUCCUAUGGCGUCGAUCCGAAUAUAUUUUGCAAAUAUUUUGAUGAUACAUAUUUCUAUCUUAUUGCUCUUAAUGGUAGUAGUAAUUCAAGUAUGUUAGUUCAUCUCAAAAUUAUUCCAAGAGUCACAGCCAUUCUCACAAGGACACAAAAAGAAACACGAAAUAUUUGGGACUGCCAACAAGAAACCUUCAACACUGAAGGAUCAAAAAAUGGAAAACCGUUGUUCAGGUGUGUAUUAUUUUGUAAAUGCUCUUAGUAAUGGUUUACAACAAUUUUGUUAGGGCGUCUAAAAAAUGCUACCGUAAUAUAGUCCUUUCAUGGCCGCAUUAAUUAAAAAUACAAUAAGUGCAUUAAAACUUAGAUUUAUUACAAAAAUGUGCUACAAGCAAAAAUGUAUGUUCAUUUUGAAUAUUUACUAUGUCAAUGUGUGUAAAAAAUUGGGCUAGUUGACAAUAAUUGUUUUGACAUUGUGUUGCAAAAGCAUUUGUUUCAAUUUUGUAAAAACUAUUGCUAGCAACAAUUUUUGACUUUGAAAAUUGAUUCCAAGUUUUGAAAACAUAAUGUUAGCAACAUUUUCUGACUUGAAAUUUGGUUCCAAGUUGAAAAAUAUGUUAACACAAAUAAAGAGAACAAAUUUCUGACUUGAAAAUUUGGGUUCCAACUUUCUGACAAAUUGGAUAGGCACCUAUUUUCUGACUUUGCAAAAUUUGGUUCCAACUUCUGAAAAAAAUUGGAUAGCAACAAUUUACUGACUUUGAAAAAUGUGGUUAACAGAGCUGAGCGUGUUGAAAUUGGUAUAAUAAUUUCCUGACUUUGAUAUAAAUGUGGUUGCAUACUUUUGCCAAAAAUUGAAUAGCACCAUUUUUCUCAUUUUCGACUUUGAAUGUGGGUUGGAACUUUGAAAAUUUGGUACAGUAUAAUUUUCUUUCUGACUUUUGAAAAUGUGUGUGUGUGGCCAACUUUUGAAUUAGAGAAUCAAAAAAAAAAUAAAGAAUAGCAACCCAUUUCUGACUUGACAUGGUAUUUUCAAAUUUGAAAAUUGGCGUAAGAAAACUAGCAAAACUUCAAAUUCCAUCUUACCAACUCGGUUAUAGUUCUUCCUAGAAGCUAUAAAAUCAUAUCCUUUACGCUCUCAUUUUUUAUCUUGGAAUCUUAUGGAGAAUCAAAGAACUCAAAGCAUUCUUCAUUCUUCAUUUUCCAAAAUUCCCCUUUGAGCCUUCAAUUUAUUCAUACAAGAGUUCUCGUGAGAGAGACAUUGUAAAAGCUUCAUUUGUAUAUCCUUCUCAAAAGGAGAAUUGUUAUUGUGAGAGAAAUCUCAAAUCUAUUUCAGUCGAUUGUAUCUAGAGGGUUGUUUUGACCCUGUUUAGGUGUGAAGGAAAUUUUCCACCUUGUGAGAAGAGUGUGUACUCUUGCGUGUAAGGUUUGAACUCCACCUGCACAGGAGUUUGGCGGAUUAGUGUUGAUUGAAAUCUUCAAGUGUUGUGCUUUGGGAGUGACGUAUGUCAGGAAGACCGAACCACUAUAAAUUAUAGCCGAGUUUUGAUCUCUUUCCUUCUCGUUGUAUUAGUGUGCUCAUAUUUAUACGCUCGGUGCAUUAUACUGCUUUUUAUAUCAUUUGGAAACUCUUAAUUCAGUAUAAUUUAUUAAAAGAAAAGUUUUGCCAACAAACCCUAUUCCCCCCCCUCUAGGGUUAAUUUCUGGGUAACAAGUGGUAAUCAAGCAGGACUCUACAUUUUUCGGUAUCUAAAACGAUCUAGGAUUAAAAAGAUCUAUGGCCACAUAAUAGGAACACAUAUGGCCGAAUGCCAUUCCAUACAUAGACUCUGCUUUCCACUUAUUCGUCCGGAUAGUAAUUUAUAGAUUAUUGUGAAGGCUAGAAUUAAAAUUUUAUAUUCAGUGCCAAUGAUUAUGCAUGUUUGUCGAGCAUUAACAAAGCAUGGACCUAUUGCGUCCCACAAAAUAACUGAAAGUGGAGAGUGGUUACUAUAAACCUCAAAGAAUGGACUAUCGUAGAUACAAAAGCACAUGUAACAAAAUAAUGCUCAAGCCAACUUACACCACUUUUUAUAUUGUGCCUUACAGACGUAACGCAUUAAAUAAAUCUCCGGUGGUGAAACGGCUAAGGAAAUUGUUGGGAUAAGACACGUAAGAAUCCACCCAUGCGAACUGGACCAUCAAGUAAAAGGAAUCAAAAAUAAGUAUGUUAGGUUCAUUAAUACGAAUUUUUAAAAAUGAAUCAAGUGAUACUAAUGUAUCUGCAAUGUGUUCUACCUCGUUUUUUUAACCGAUAUGAUGUGUUCAUUAAUGGAGUGUAAGAGUCGCGCUGUAAAGUUUGUAUACAAUGUCGAAAUGGUGCGAGUAAUGCAUUGCUUAGGUGUCAUUAUCCACAAGAAGUUGGGAGACCAAACGUAUACCUGCCAUUGAAGAAUGCCAAAAGUAGCCCAUCACCAAAAAUGGGUCUUGAUGAAUUGGCUUGGAUCUCUCAUACACUGAAAUCACCUUGAGAGCAAUGAGGAAAAUGACGAAGGUAAAAAAAGAGAGAAAUUGCUUUCAAACCUCAUCAGCACAAACAAUGAUGAACCUCAACAUGAAUGAGGAAGUGAUGAAGAUAUGGCUCUCUUAAACGAAGAUUUACAGAUUUCAAAAGAGGUCAUUUCCUAGAAGACAAGGACGACCGAAACUUCGACAAAAAUGAAGACAAAAGAAGGACCCCCCAUCAUUUGCUUUGAAUGCAAAAAGCCCGGUCACAUGAAAGUUUGAUUGGCCAAAUCUCAAGAAAGAUCAAACGAGAUAGAGAAAUAUCAAAUUUGAAAAAUUCAAGAAGCUUUUCGGCUUGGGGAGAAAUUGACGUUGACACAUCCGAUGAUGAGUCCGGUGAUUCAAGAAGUGGCAAUUGUGUUCUUGUUCCUCAAGAAGAUAUAAAAAUGAGGUACAAUCUCGAAUCCAUUCCUUAAAUGAUUUACAAGAUGAUUAUGAUGAUUUAUAUUAGGGAAUCAUUGAAAUUAAUAACAAACAUUGCAUGCUUUAAAACAAUUGCCAUCACUUUCUAUUGAAAUAGAAACCUUUUGAAGAAGCUGGCUAAUGAGUGACAAGUAAAUAUUGAACUACUGAUACAAUUUUAGAUCUAACAAAAUGUCUUGGAAAAAUUUACAAAAGUCAAAAGAUUUUGGAUCUACUUCUUGGAUCACAAAGAUGUGUAUAUGAUCCGUGCGGGAUUGGACACAAUAUUCAACUAACAAAAUUAUAUAAAUAUCUUUGUGUGAAUCAACUUCUUUUUCGACCACAAAAAUUUCAUGCACAGAUUGCAAUCCUAAGGGCAUACUCAAAAACAUGCUAUGUGAAGAAUGUGUUAGGUAAAGGAUUAAAAAACAAUAUGGGGACCUAAGAAGAAAAAUGCUACUAACAUUCAAGGACCCAACCAGAUUUGGGUACCAAGACAAUGGUUGAUCUUGUAUAAGGUUGCUGAAUGAAUUCAAAGAAAGGAGGAGGGGGGGGGGGGGGGGUGGUACUUGUAGUGGAUGCUCAAGACAUUGACUCGGAGAAUAAAUCCACCUUUCGCAUACUAAUCCAAAGGAUGUGGAUUUGUGACCUUCGAGACAAUAGCAAGGAAAAAUCUCGUAUAGUUAAUGGGGUAGGAACCUUCUCCUUUAUAUAAAAUGUUUACUUGUUGAUGGAUUAAAGCAUAACUUUACUUAGUAUUAGUCAUAUGUGAUACGGAAAAUAAAGGCAUCUUUGACAAAUAUGUGCCCAUAGAAAAAUAUCAAAGAUGAUAAAACUUAUUUAAUUGUCAAAGAAUUGAAAUGUAAUUUUUUUUGUUAAAAAUUGAUGACGUUGAGCCAACAAAUGGACUUGCUUAUCAGCCAUGAAUGACAAACGGUUGGCUAUGGCCAUAAAGGCCUUGGGCAUUCUCUAUAGAUCUUAUUUCAAAACUUGCUAAAAGGAUUGGUAAUUGGGCUAACCAAAAAUUUCUUUUGAAAAGAUAGUUGUGUGGAGCAUGUCACCAAGGACAACAAACAAAGUGUCUUUUAAGUCAAAAAUAUCGUUUCUUCUCUCUCUUCUAACAUCUAAGGCCUCUACAACUUCUACACACAUGGACCUUAAUUGGUCCUUCAAGACAAUGAAGUUCGUGAGGAAAUUAUACAUUCUUGUGAUUUGUGAUGAUUUUUUCUCGAUUUACAUGGUAACAUUUUUAGCUCACAAAAAUUAAGCAUUUUCCUCAUUUCACAAAAACUUGCCGACGUCUCAAAUGAUAAAGAACUAAGACCUCAAAAUUUCUACAUUAGAACCGAUCAUGGGAAAGACUGAAAUUGAGUCUUUUUGCCAAAUUUUGUGAUAUCUCGGAUUGGACUAAUUUCUCGGCACCUAGGACCCCUCAACAAAAAGGCUUGUUGAAAGAAAAAAUAGAACUUUGGAAGAAAUGGCAAGAACAAUGCUUUGCGAAAACUCUCGUCCAAAAUAACUUUGGGCUUAAAAGCUGUGAACACGCAUGCUUUAAUUUAAUCGAGCCAUGAUUUAGGCCAAUCUUAAAAGACACCUAUGAGCCUUUGGAAAGAAGAAACCAAAUAUUGGGUUCUUUCAUUGCUUUGGAUGCAAUGCUUAUGUCCCUAAAUAUGGGAAGGACAACUAGGAAAAUUCGAUCAAUCGGAUGAAGCUUUUUCUAGGAUAUUCAAUUACAACACAGCUUUUUCGAGUUUUUAACAAACGAACUUUAGUAGUUGAAGAAUCCUGCAUGUUGGUAUUUGAUGAAUAUAAUGAUCCUUCUUUUCAAGUGCUUCAAGAAAGUUAGGAAUUGAAAAGCAUGGAAAAUAUUGAAAUCUCUCAAGAACGCAGAUACUCAAGGAGAAGCCACUGAAAAACAAAUUGCAACUAGAGGUAGUACUUACCUCAAAUUGAAAAUCACGUGGGAAACCUCAAAAGCAAAGAAGGUGGAAGCUCACAUCUCCCAAAGAAUGGAGAUAUGUUUUUCACAACCACCAACAAUCUCAUUAUUGGUGAUCCAUCAAAAGGGUAACUACUAGAACUCUAUAAAAUUUAUUGGGCAUCUUGCAUUCUAUUCUCAAUAGAACCUAAAAUUUUCAUGAAGCUGAAUUUGAUGAAUAUUGGCUUCUAGCUAUGCAAGAGAACUCAAUCCAUUCGAAAGAAAGCAAGUUUGGACUCUAGUACUAGGCAUCAAAUCAUCCUCAUAUUGGCACUAAAUGGUAUUUAGAAAUAAACUUGAUGAAUCCGGAAUCAUUGUUAGAAAUAAAGCUAGACUUUUGGCCCAAGGAUAUAGUUCAAGAAGAGGAAUAGAUUUUGAUGAUAAUUUGCUCUCCCGUAGCUAGAUUGGAAGCUAUUUCGAAUGUACAGCCUUUGCAUGCUAAUAUGGACUUCAAUUAUAUCAAAUGGAUGUAAAAAGUGCAAUUCUUAAAUGGAUUUAUUACCGAGGAAGUGUUGUGCCACCUCGCCGGGUUUGGAGAAUCAUGAAUUGCCCAAUCAUGUCUUUAACUUUCAAAGCACUCUAUGGACUUAAGCAAGCUCCAAGACGUGGUAUGAAAGACUUAGCAAAUAAUUUAAAUGAUACUAGUUUUUGGCAAGAGGGAAAAUAGAUAAUACACUUUUUAUAAAAAUUGAAGAAUAAGGACAUGCUCAUCGUCCAAGAUAUGUUGAAUGAUAUUAUAUUUGGUGCUACUAUGAGAAUAUUGCAAAGAAUUUGGCUAAAGAGCAUGCAAAGGAGAAUUCGAUGACAUAUUGGGGAGGCUAACUUUCUUCCUUGGACUAACAAAUCAAACAAUCAAGCGAAGGGACAAUUUAUAAUCAGCAAAUACACAAAGGAGCUUCCUCAAGCGUUUGGCAUGAUAGAAGCAAAACCGCUAGGCACCACCGAACCCCAUAUGGGCACAUCAAUAAGCCUUGACAAAGAUGAAAUGGUAAAAAUGUUGAUGAACAAGCCUCUAAUCGAGGUAUGAAUUGGCUCUUUUGCUCUAUUUAAAACAAAACGGAAGUAGGCCGGAUAUCAUGUUUUAGUGUAUGCCAUAUGUGCUAGAUUUCAAUCAUGUCCUAAGGAAUCAACUUUAAGUUUGCUGUGAAACGCUAUUUAGAUAGCUCAUAGAAACGUAUGACUUAGGAAUAUUCAUCCUAGGGUAGUUGCAUUUGAAUUAAAUGAUUCCUCCGAUGCCGACUAUACGCCGGAUUGUAGAUAGAUCGAAAGAGCACAAGUGGCACUUGCAUUCCUAGGACACUCUCUAGUGUCAUGGUCUAGCAAGAAACAAAAUUCCGUUGCUUUAUCAACCGCCGAGGCGGAAUAUGUGGCCGCGGAAGUUGUUGUGCCAUUCCUUAUUGGAGGAAACAACAAUGGAGGAGUAUGGUUUAAUUUGAUCAUAUUCCCAUCAAAUGUGAUAAUACACGUGCUAUAAAUUUUGUCUAAGAGCCCCAAUUAAUACAACACUCAAAGAACAAACCUAUUGAAAUUCGACAUCUCAUUUUUUAAAGAUCACGUCCCAAAGGGGGAUUUGACUUCAAUAUAUUCCUACCGACAAGCAUUGGCGGCUAUUUUUAACAAAACCCCUUGAUUGAAAAAAGAGAUUUUGCUAUAUUCCGAACUGAACUGUAAUGGUCUAAACCAAGUGAUAUUUUUGGAUCUUAAAAUAAAUUUAUAAGUAUAAGUUGAGUCAUAGUUGAGAAAGAAUAGUUCGGGACUGAAUGUAUUCAAUGCCUAAUCUCCGACAAACAAUUUUUUUCCUUUCUUUGAAUUGUUAUCUUGAUUUGAUAUGUGAUAAAUAAGAUUAUCAAAAAGCUGAGGUACUGAUAUUAUGAUAAGAACUAUGAGAUCUCUAUAUGCUUAUAUGCGAAAAUGUAAGUAUGUAAUGUCUGACAAUGAGAGUUGUUCUUUAUUUUGAUAAAACUAUCCCUUUUGAUAAUUUCAAAACUCCUCUAAAUGAAAGAAUUUUAAGAUUUGAGGUUUUAGUGCAAAAAUCUUUUGGUUUAUUCACCACUCAAAUUAUCUUUCGUUAAACAUCCUAUGUGUUUAAUUGGUAUCUAAUACUAGCAUGUGAGAUAACAAGAAAAUAUUCUUGGUCAAAAAUUUUUUAAAAAAACUCCUUCAUUAUGUUUUCAUAUGUGAUUGUUUGAUUAGUUGAAAUACAUGCAUAUCAUCAUACUUAUGCACCAACUUAGGGGAGCACUACAUAUUGGUACCACUUUGGUAGGGUAUCCUACAUUUACCUUCAUUGAAAUUAGACAUCAUAUCUUUAUUUCGUGAUCCUGUCAAAAAGAAGAUGUAGACCUAGAUUUUAUAAGUACUGGAUUUCAAUGGGUUGACAUCUUCAUAAAACCACUUCAAGAGAUCGUUCUGCAACCAUUCGAAGAGACCUUGGUAAAUGUGUAGACCACAAAUAUUAACAUAAUAUUUUAGGUUAUUUAUUUUAUAUUUUUUUAUAUAGAAUAAUUUACUAUUAUUCUGAAUCAAAUUACCUGUUUAAGUUUUCAAGAAAAUCUUAGCUUUUUCGGACUUCAACACGAACUCUCCUGGUUGCUCUUGUAAGACGGUUUUUAUCAUCUCUAGUUUUCUGAAUACUCUUUUUCCAUAUCAUUAGCAUAUGAUCGACAUUUCUCUUCACUCUUUAUUCCUCCUGCUGAAGACUUCUUUCCUUCGUUGCAAGUUUCAAACUUGAGAGUCCUUAGCUCUUGACUGCAUUUCCCUCGACUUGUAACGUCGAGCCAUAAUUUGCAACGAAGAUGCACCCUGGAUUACUGAGUGCCAUAGGAGUCCUUAAUGGCUUCAAUAUCAAUUCCAUAUUCCUCUAUAACUUUUCCAUCUUGUGGAGUACUGAUUCCUUUAGGCUAACUGAUGCAGCAAACUGCAUCAUCCGCAUCACAGAGCCAUUGUUAUGAUAGGUCUUUUUUGAGAUAAGGGUUAAUGAACGCCAGAUUCUGGUUGUACAUUAGGCAUAUCAUUCACGAUCAAAUUUCUUUUUGAGAAGAAGAAGAAGCCAUUUUUGAAAACUAAGAAAGAAACUGGUUCAGUAAAUGAAAUUGUUCUUCAAAAAGAACCGAAGGAGAAAGAAGAAGAGAACUAAUUUUUGGGAUCUAGGAAAGAGAUUUUUUCAGACAAAUAUAGCCUAAAAGUCGUCCUCUGUGCACAGCCGCACCUACCAUUGACAAACCAAUCCUAGAUUACGAUUUUAUUUUUAUUUUUUAUUUUUAUUUUUAUUUUAUUUUUAUUUUUUAUUUUGUUAUUUUUAUUUUUUUAAUUUUUUAUUUAGAUCACAUGCGUCAUCACAGCGUUCACUCGCACCUAUUGCCCCUGUCAAUCUCAUCUAUAAUUCACUUGUCUUCUCUCUACCAACGCAUAUUUCUGUUCUCAAUUCUUCAUACUCUGAAAGCUAAAAAACUUUUUCUUCCUAGUUUCAGCCUAUCAAUCUCUUCUUAAGAGAAAGAUUAGCAAGCGCAUCUAAUUCAUACCAUCUAAAUUCUAUAAGAAAGAUGCAACAUCACAAUUGAUUCCAACAACAGAAGCAAGACUAUUCUUGAUCAUGUUCAUCUAGAAGCAAGAUUUAUUCUUGAUCAUGUUUCUAAGAUGGAAUAAU